rnacentral:lncRNA from 1 species
AUUUAUUGAUUAAACAAGUCACAUCUCCUUUAAGGCUAACAAUCAGUACCACAGUAAAUCUGCAUCUUUCAACGGAUUAUUUGUAAGUGUAGGGUCACCAAUACACCACUUCAAUUUAGAACGUGUCGUAUGUAAAAGUAGUCCUACCCUGUAAAAUAUCGCACCUGUGAUGUCUUUGUUUAAUUAAACAAAAAUACAAAUUUGAAGAAAAGGGGGUUGCCCUAUUUUGAGGGCUCCUAGAGAAAAAUAAUGAGGGGUGUCACGGGGUAUGACUAUAUAGGUCUUGAAGAGGAAAACAGGCGCUUCUUUUGCGCAAGGUAUCGAAGGGCGCUAUGUUCAAAAAUCUGAAACUAGAGCCCAAAAUUUGAAAAAAAUGGUAAAAAAAAUAGGGAGCUCGGCCAAUUCCAGGGCUCCUAGAGAAAAAUAAUGAGGGUGUCACGGGGUAUGACUAUAUAGGUCUUGUAGAGGAAAAACAGGCGCUUCUUUUGUGCAAGGUAUCGAAGGGCGCUAUAUUCAAAAAUUUGAAACUAGAGCUCAAAAUAUGAAAAAAAUUGGCAAAAACAGGGGGUCUGCCUAUUCCAGGGCUUCUAGAGAAAAAUAAUGAGGGGUGUCACGGGGUAUGACUAUAUAGGUCUUGUAGAGGAGAAACAGGCGCUUCUUUUGCGCAAGGUAUCGAAGGGCGCUAUGUUCAAAAAUCUGAAACUAGAGCCCAAAAUUUGAAAAAAAAAUGGUAAAAAAAUAGGGGGGUCGGCUUUUUCCUGGGCUCCUAGGGAAAAAUAAUGAGGGGUGUCACGGGUAUGACUUUAUAGGUCUUGUAGAGGAGAAACAGGCGCUUCUUUUGCGCAAGGUAUCGAAGGGCGCUAUGUUAAAAAAUCUGAAACUAGAGCUCAAAAUUUGAAAACAAAUGGUAAAAAACAGGGAGGUCGGCCUAUUCCAGGGCUUCUAGAGAAAAAUAAUGAGGAGUGUCACGGGGUAUGACUAUAUAGAUCUUGUAGAGGAGAAACAGGUGCUUCUUUUGCUCAAGGUAUCGAUGGGUGCUAUGUUCAAAAUCUUAAACUAGAGCUCAAAAUUUGAAAACAAAUGGUAAAAAACAGGGGGGUCGGCCUAUUCCAGGGCUUCUAGAGAAAAUAAUGAGGGGUGUCACGGGGUAUGACUAUAUAAGUCUUGCAGAGGAGAAACAGGCGCUUCUUUUGCGCAAGGUAUCGAAGGGUGCUAUGUUCAAAAAUCUGAAACUGGAGCCCAAAAUUUGAAAAAAAUGGUAUAAAACAGGGUAUGACUAUAUAAGUCUUGUAGAGGAGAAACAGGUGCUUCUUUUGCGCAAGGUAUCAAUGGGUGCUAUGUUCAAAAUCUUAAACUAGAGCUCAAAAUUUGAAAACAAAUGGUAAAAAACAGGGGGCCGGCCUAUUCCAGGGCUUCUAAAGAAAAAUAAUGAGGAAUGUCACGGGGUAAGACUAUACAGGUCUUGUAGAAGAGAAACAGGCGCUUCUUUUGCGCAAGGUAUCGAAGGUCGCUAUGUUCAAAAAUCUGAAACUGGAGCUCAAAAUAUGAAAAAAAAUGGUAUAAAACAGGGGGGUCGGCCUUUUCCAGGGCAUCUAGAGAAAAAUAAUGAGGAGUGUCACGGGGUAUGACUUUAUAGGUCUUGUAGAGAAGAAAGAGGCGCUACUUUUGCGCAAGUUAUCGAAGGGUGCUAUGUUCAAAAAUCUGAAACUAGAGCCCAAAAUUUGAAAAAAAAAUGGUAAAAAAAUAGGGGGGUCGGUCUAUUCCAGGGCUCCUAGAGAAAAAUAAUGAGGGGUGUCAUGGGGUAUGACUAUAUAGGUCUUGUAGAGGAGAAACAGGCGCUUCUUUUGCGCAAGGUAUCGAAGGUCGCUAUGUUCAAAAAUCUGAAACUAGAGCUCAAAAUAUGAAAAAAAAAUGGUAAAAAACAGGGUGUCGGCCUAUUCCAGGGCUUCUAGAGAAAAAUAAUGAGGGGUGUCACGGGUAUGACUAUAUAGGUCUUGUAGAGGAGAAACAGGCGCUUUUUUUGCGCAAGGUAUCGAAGGGCGCUAUGUUCAAAAAUCUGAAACUGGAGCCCAAAAUUUGAAAAAAAAUGGUAUAAAACAGGGGGGUCGGCCUUUUCCAGGGCUUCUAGAGAAAAAUAAUGAGGGGU